rnacentral:rRNA from 1 species
CCUACGGGUGGCAGCAGUGAGGAAUAUUGGUCAAUGGGCGCGAGCCUGAACCAGCCAAGUAGCGUGAAGGAUGAAUGCCCUACGGGUUGUAAACUUCUUUUAUAAAGGAAUAAAGUGAGGCACGUGUGCCUUUUUGUAUGUACCUUAUGAAUAAGGAUCGGCUAACUCCGUGCCAGCAGCCGCGGUAAUACGGAGGAUCCGAGCGUUAUCCGGAUUUAUUGGGUUUAAAGGGUGCGUAGAUGGGUUGUUAAGUCAGUGGUGAAAGUUUGCGGCUCAACCAUAAAAUUGCCAUUGAAACUGGCAGCCUUGAGUUCAGUUGAGGUAGGCGGAAUGCGUGGUGUAGCGGUGAAAUGCUUAGAUAUCACGAAGAACUCCGAUUGCGAAGGCAGCCUACUAAGCUACAACUGACAUUGAUGCUCGAAAGUGUGGGUAUCAAACAGGAUUAGAUACCCCUGUAGUC